rnacentral:rRNA from 1 species
UACAGAGGUCCCAAGCGUUGUUCGGAUUCACUGGGCGUAAAGGGUGCGUAGGCGGUCGGGUAAGUCUGACGUGAAAUCUCCAAGCUCAACUUGGAAAUGGCGUCGGAUACUAUUCGGCUCGAGGAAUGGAGGGGAGACUGGAAUUCUCGGUGUAGCAGUGAAAUGCGUAGAUAUCGAGAGGAACACCAGUGGCGAAGGCGAGUCUCUGGACAUUUCCUGACGCUGAGGCACGAAAGCCAGGGGAGCAAACGGG